rnacentral:rRNA from 1 species
GAGUUUGAUCGUGGCUCAGAACGAACGCUGGCGGCAGGCCUAACACAUGCAAGUCGAACGCCCACUUCGGUGGGAGUGGCGCACGGGUGAGUAACACGUGGGAACCUACCCUUCGGUACGGAACAACCCAGGGAAACUUGGGCUGAUACCGUAUACGACCUGGUGAAGAUUGAUCGCCGAGGAGGGGCCCGCGUCCGAUUAGGUAGUUGGUGGGGUAACGGCCUACCAAGCCGACGAUCGGCACCUGGUCUGAGAGGAUGAUCAGGCACACUGGGACUGAGACACGGCCCAGACUCCUACGGGAGGCAGCAGUGGGGAAUAUUGGACAAUGGGCGGAAGCCUGAUCCAGCCAUGCCGCGUGAGUGAUGAAGGCCUU